rnacentral:misc_RNA from 1 species
GGAAGGAUCAUUCCGAACGAACCGAAAGGUUUUAUUUUUCCAGUUGAACUGGUAGUGCCGCCUUUUUGGUGGGUACGUAUCAACUGAUCUUUGGUAUUUGGAGUGAAAGCUUCGCCUGCCCUCGAUCGACUUUUAACCAGGAACCGAAAACUUGGCUUAUGAAGCGACUCGCAAGAGUCCAUUUAAAUCAUACAGCUAUUAGCAACGGAUACCUCGGUUCUCAUAACGAUGAAGAACGCAGCGAAACGCGAUAUUUAGUGCGAAUUGCAGAAUUCAGUGAAUCAUCAAAAUUUUGAACGCAAGUUGCGCUCUUGGGAUAUUCCUGGGAGCAUGCCUCUUUCAGUGUCGGGUCAACAUACCAUCAUCUCUGAUGACGAUGGUGUCGUGCACUUUCGAACCGGUCAACGGUGCGAAUCUGUCAAAUACCAAGCACUGCUGGAUUUGAUCUUGCGGUUCGACGCGCAAUCUUGUACUUGGACAGUUUCUGUUCGUUGUGCAAUUGUCGUCACAAGAACCACGCGCAUCACUUCCGUUAAAAGCAGAGCCACAGUCUCGCAGCUUCGUGCUCUUGACAACUCAACAUAACAAUGACCUGAGGGAGGUAAGAUUACCCGCUUGACUUAAGCAUAUCAAUAAGCGGAGGAAAAGAAACUAAAUAGGAUUCCCCUAGUAACGGCGAGUGAAAAGGGAGUAGCCCAACCCGAUAAUCGCGCGGCUUCGCCGUGAGAAUUGUAGGUUAUGGAGCAUGGACAGCGUUGGUCUUGGUCAAAGUGCGUUGGAAUGCGCCGGCUGAGAGGGUGAGACCCCCGUGUUGGGCUAAAGACUCAACGUGUACGUCCUGUUUUCCGAGAGUAGGUUUGCUUGAGAGUGCAGACUGAAAUGGGAGGUAAAUUCCUUCCAAGGCUAAAUACCUAUGAGAGACCGAUAGCGCACAAGUACCGUGAGGGAAAGGUGAAAAGGACUUUGAAAAGAGAGUCAAAAGUACUUGAAAUUGCUAAUAGGUAAGCGAUAAGGAGUAGUGCAUGGUUGGGCCACACGUUGGUUUUUGCAGUCAGAGUGUUGUGUGGACGGGGCGUCAUUCGACGUGAGUUCAUGUAGCAUGAGGCUGUCUGGCCGAUUCGUGAGUUCAGCUUGUGUCAUGGCUGAUUCGGAUUGGGUUAACCGUCCGCGACUGGGUAGCUUGGGGCAACUCAAGUGCAGGGUCGUGGUCACGGAGCCUCGUCUGGAUUGGUCUUGACGAAAUAUUCCUUAUUGACCCGUCUUGAAACACGGACCAAGGAGUCUACCAUGUAGGCAAGUCUAUGGGUGUUAAACCCUACGGCGCAAUCAACGUGAAGGAGAGUCUGACUCUCUGAGGUGCGCAGCGCAAGCUUCAGCACCGCCCGGCGCUUCCCUAGUGUUGCGUUCGAGGUAGAGCCUAUCUGUUAGGACCCGAAAGAUGGUGAACUAUGCCUGAGCAGGGUGAAGCCAGGGGAAACUCUGGUGGAAGCUCGUAGCGAUACUGACGUGCAAAUCGUUCGUCUGACUUGGGUAUAGGGGCGAAAGACUAAUCGAACCAUCUAGUAGCUGGUUCCCUC